rnacentral:rRNA from 1 species
GACAAACAGAUCGAGUCAAGAUUUGUUCAGUAAAAAAGGAGGUUUGUAAUUAUAAUAUAGUAGGAAAAUCUGUUAUUUUUAUAGGGGUGAAAUUUGUAUAAAAAGAGUUGGUCUGUUAUUUUCUUUUUUUUGACGCCUCGAAAGUUUAGUUUAAGACCGGGAUUAGAUACCCCGUUAUUUAUUCUGUAAACUUUAAUUAAUUAGUAUAAUUUACUUGGGUAUUACGGGCUGCGAUAAGUUACAGUAUUAUAUCUUAUUACGGGUAGCUUAAAACUCAAAAAACUUGGCGGUGCCUUAAUUCCUUCCGGGGGAACCUGUCCUGUAAUCGAUGAUCCGCGAUUCAACUUACCUUAUUUUGAAUAUUAAUUGCGGUAAUAUGUAAUUAAUACAGUUUGUAUACCGUCGUCGUCAGAUUACCUUUAAGAGUAAAAGUAGUUGUCAGAAGGAGUGUGGUUGUUAGCUAAUAUUAAGUGAAAUCUCGUAUUCUUGAUGUCAGAUCAAGGUGCAGCCUAUAAUAAGGGAGAGAUGGGUUACAAUAACUAUUUGUUAAACGGAUUUUGUUUUGUAAUAAAUGAAUUGAAGGUGGACUCGGAAGUAAUAUAAUUGUAAGCAGAGAGUUUAUGUGAAGAAUGGUACUAAGGUGCGU